CAGGGUGUUCAAAUACUUAUUUUCCUCACUGUAUCUCUCUAAGUAUAUCUCUGUACACAUGUUCAUAGGAGAGUUGAGGUUAGUGGAAGGUUGACCUCUGACACAACAUUACAAAAAAUUGCAUUACUUCAGAAGACAGGUGACUAAAAUAUUGGCUAAUUUUCAUUUCGGGGUGAACUAUUCCUUCACACAGCAGUAAAAAUGUUACUAAAAGUAGUAAAACAUUACUAUUUUACUCCAAAAAUCUUACUAUUUUGCAAGGUUCUUUUUCUAUUUUUGAGGCAAUUUUGUUAUGUGACCAUGUCUGCGAAAUCCAGGCAAAAUUUUCAUAAUUCUGAGAUUAGAAGCAUCAAAGUUUGAUUUCAAUCAUUCAUUUCACAUUGAUUUCAAUCUUUGAUAUGACUUUUCUCAGUCAGUAUUAAAUAUAUCAAUGUUAUAUUUUCACAGAAUGUUCUUUACAUGAUUUACUGUAGGAUUGUUUUGUAGAAAGCAGUAAAAUACAAAUAUAAUCUCUAUACAGGCCUUGCACCUACUGCCAAUUUCACAAGUAACUCCCAGUUUGGUAUGACUUUGAUAUUUUGUCUUCUAUUAUUAUAGACAGAAAUCAAACCUGUCCUCAUUUGACAUCCUCUACUCACAUUUACAUUGCAAGAACCUACAAGUUCAAGUGAUAUAAUAAAGUAAAAAUCUGCUCAUCUUUAUUGAUUAUGAAGAAGUCUCUGUCUUUUCAAUGACCUGUGCAUUUAAAGUCUACGGUGUAAAUGGAAAGAAAGUGUUUAAUGGAUAGAUAAUAAUAUUUUUAUAGAUGUGCAGCACUUAGCUGUAAUAAAUAUUCUGAAAGAUGGACAAUUGAAACAUGAACCAUUAAAACUACCUGGCCCAUUCAGAUCCAACAUGCAAUGACUAGUGCAGGUACUUCAGACAGUCGGAGCCUCUGUGCUCAUGUGGUGAUGCAGAGGUUUGAGUCCAGCCUCCAAAUAGCUCUGAUUCCCCUUGCAUCAUUCUGCCAGUCUGUAUAAUAAGAAAAAGAG